rfam:Clostridium clostridioforme CAG:132 genomic scaffold, scf99
GGAGGAGUACCCAAGUGGCUGAAGGGUCUGGCUUCGAACACCAGUAGGUCGGCAGCACCGGCGCGAGGGUUCAAAUCCCUCCUCCUCCG